CCUACGGGAGGCAGCAGUGAGGAAUAUUGGUCAAUGGACGAGAGUCUGAACCAGCCAAGUAGCGUGAAGGAUGACUGCCCUAUGGGUUGUAAACUUCUUUUAUAAAGGAAUAAAACGAGGCACGUGUGCCUUUUUGCAUGUACUUUAGGAAGAAGGAGCGGCUAACUCCGUGCCAGCAGCCGCGGUAAUACGGAGGAUCCGAGCGUUAUCCGGAUUUAUUGGGUUUAAAGGGAGCGUAGAUGGGUUGUUAAGUCAGUUGUGAAAGGUUGCGGCUCAACCGUAAAAUUGCAAUUGAUACUGGCAGUCUUGAGUACAGUUGAGGUAAGCGGAAUUCGUGGUGUAGCGGUGAAAUGCUUAGAUAUCACGAAGAACCCCGAUUGCGAAGGCAGCUUACUAAACUGUGACUGACAUUGCUGCUCGAAAGUGUGGGUAUCAAACAGGAUUAGAUACCCUAGUAGUC
rnacentral:rRNA from 1 species